CCCUUUAAUGUUUGAUGUUCUAACGUGGACCCGUUACCCGGGUUGCGGACAGUGUCUGGUGGGUAGUUUGACUGGGGCGGUCUCCUCCUAAAGAGUAACGGAGGAGCACGAAGGUUGGCUAAUCCUGGUCGGACAUCAGGAGGUUAGUGCAAUGGCAUAAGCCAGCUUGACUGCGAGCGUGACGGCGCGAGCAGGUGCGAAAGCAGGUCAUAGUGAUCCGGUGGUUCUGAAUGGAAGGGCCAUCGCUCAACGGAUAAAAGGUACUCCGGGGAUAACAGGCUGAUACCGCCCAAGAGUUCAUAUCGACGGCGGUGUUUGGCACCUCGAUGUCGGCUCAUCACAUCCUGGGGCUGAAGUAGGUCCCAAGGGUAUGGCUGUUCGCCAUUUAAAGUGGUACGCGAGCUGGGUUUAGAACGUCGUGAGACAGUUCGGUCCCUAUCUGCCGUGGGCGCUGGAGAACUGAGGGGGGCUGCUCCUAGUACGAGAGGACCGGAGUGGACGCAUCACUGGUGUUCGGGUUGUCAUGCCAAUGGCACUGCCCGGUAGCUAAAUGCGGAAGAGAUAAGUGCUGAAAGCAUCUAAGCACGAAACUUGCCCCGAGAUGAGUUCUCCCUGAGACUUAGAGUCUCCUGAAGGAACGUUGAAGACGACGACGUUGAUAGGCCGGGUGUGUAAGCGCAGCGAUGCGUUGAGCUAACCGGUACUAAUGAACCGUGAGGCUUAACCUUACA
rnacentral:rRNA from 1 species